GUCUCGGUGGCCUAGUGGUUUAAGGCGAUGGACUGUUAAUCCAUAGAUCCUGGGUUCGACUCCCAGCCGGGACG